UUAGAAUUAUUUUUCACAGAAAAAGAGAUUAUACAAUAAUUAAAUAUAUAUCAUUAUUAUACAUAAAUGUGUUGAAUAACAAAUUUACUAUUUUUGAUCUCAAAUAAGAAACGAACUUUGUAAUGUAAGCGCCUCUGUGUAAUGAUGUAUGCGAGAACAACAAACGAGAUGGAAAUUAUUUCACUAAAAUUAAAAUGCGCUGGAAAAGCUGUCCCGGGGUAAUGUAGAAAGCGCAGUUUUAUUACACUGUAAUUUUAUUAUACCAUUUGACGUAGCAGAGAGAACUAACCGCCUGCAAUUUCACUAUGCUACGAUGUCGAUGUCUUUUCUAGGCGUUAUGCCGCUAUGCCAUCGUCAAACUAUGAAUUUUAAAGCCAACCACCUAUAUUUCUCCUUCUUCUUCUCGUCGCUCGUAAUCGGUGAGUCCAAUGGCGGAAGAAUCCAUACGAAUACGAGAAUUCAGCAAUAAUCGGAAGCAUCCGAGCCUCAAGGGGAAUUUGACUUGCAUCGAAAAACGUUUAUCGAUUGCCGACAGAACGGUGUAUCUUCUUUAUAAAGCAGUCGAGAGCAUAGCAGAUUAAUCCGGUUUUGCGUAUGAUUAUAUCAUGGUCUGACCAUGGCGUGUUCGUACCACUUACAACGGACAACGCCGUUGCAGAGAAAUUAUCUCGCUGAAGAUAUCCAAAGUUAUAGUUCAAAGAUCGGGAAUAGUUAAGUAAGAUAAGAAAAAUAGCAUAGUCAAAAGAGAAGUUGACACAUACAUAAAUAUAAUGCGCAAAGUUAAAGUUUCAGGUUUAGACGAACUAAGUUUUAACGUCCAAUUAAAUCUAAUUAAUUCCAGUAAGUUAAUUUUAGUUAAAGUAAAUUAACUCGGGAUCAGGGUAACUUUGAAUUAAUCGAUAAGAUCAACAGAUAAUAAGCGUAAGAAAUUAAGAGCUCUUGAUGUAUGCAUGUGAGAAAAAAUAAUGGUAAUAUGAAAAUUCGCGAGUAGAUUUGAUACAACGUGAGGUAAUUGUUAUAUUUAUAAUAUAAUAGCAAUUUGACUUCUCGGUCGUAUACAUGUACAGACACAAAUCAACGAAUUCAGUUCGUACACAAUGAUGAAGUUUAAAAUUUGCACGGUGAAUAUAUUCGAGCACAUUUGCGAACGUGCAACCCAGUUGCAAAUUUCGUGUCUGUCGGCUUAAUUAAAGCGGUGUUAUAUGCUGGCCCAUGUGCACACAGCAAUGAAUGGCGUGUUUUUCAAAGAAAAACGAGAGAGAGAGAGAGAGAGAGAGAGAGAGAGAGAAUGCGUUCUUUAUGUUCACAUAAAACUACCUAUACAUGUAUUUCGCAUGAUGCACUCGUAAAAACGUUAUUACUGACUUUCCACAUCUCUCUCACGGCACAAUCGCCAGAUAAGGAAACGCUCGCUGGAGCGAGAUAAUGAAAGCGAUGGCAAAGUUCUGCCGGAACUUCUCGUGAAAUUAUCGUAAAGAUGGUGAAUCGCCUUGAAACCGUAUAAAGGUUCACUCCGAGCCAUCAAGCUGCUACAUAUUGCACCGAGCAAUUCAAAUAAAAGUUUUCCUUUCCCAUAGCUUUUGUUCCCAUUUUCGUGUAUAAGAAAUGAAGCGACUCAAUAACUUGAGGUAAACUUUUAUUUUGUGUGUGCAUGCGCGCGCGCGCGUGUGUGUAUGCAAAUGAUUUAUUUACCGGAUUUUAUGUAAACUUUGUAACAGAAAAAGGAAACCUUGAGCCUCUUUCUGUUUGUCUGAAAAUGUCUACUAUUUUUAUCUGCAAUGUUGAAGUUUUUAUAAACUGUCAUAUAAGUUGUAUAAGUUGCAUAAGCAAACUGUGUUAAAUUUUUUAUUUUGAUUUAACUCUUAACAAAAUAAAGGUAGCACAUUUUUAUCGAUACGCAACUGGCGGUUACUGAUAAUUUACAAUGGCAACGAUCUAGUAUUAUAAUAAAUAGAUAAAGACCUGAUCAAGAUUAUAUGAAGGAUCCUUAGUGCAAAUAGUCACAAGUGGAAUAGAGAUAGUCGCUACGAUCGAUACGACAUGCGAUGCAGUUAUAUUGGAAACGUUGACUGAGUUGCAGCGGACCUUCGUAAUUUUCGACAGGAGUUUGCAGAGCACGUGGGGCGAACUAAUUCGAUUAUGGACGAUUUGACCCGUGCCGAGGGAAAAUUUAAAGUUCGCUCUACCCGCCAAAUACACGACGUUACCGUAAUUACCGAUCUCGUCGUUAUUCUCUUACAUCGGCAUAAAAAAGCAUAACAGUAUAAAUUAAUAUUAUGUGUAAUACGAACCAUAUUGUCUACAUUAGAGCUAAUGUAGAGAUAGAUGCCACGUGAAAAAUUGAGUGAAUUGAGUUGAAUUGAGUAACGUAUUACAUUUUAAUUAUACGCAUGAUGCAUAUUCGACGUCAUGUAUUUGCAAUUCAUCAAGUAAAGAAUAUCAAUGUCAGUUUUAUCGUAUUAAAUUUACAUUAGCUUAUGUAACUUGCGCGCAUAAAUGAUCAUAUUAAUGAUAUAAUGGCCGGUAAAAUACGUUAAUGCGCACAUAUCGAUAAAAUACAAAUCGAAUUUCGGCACUUGACUUCGAAGAUAGUAAAAGUAUCAAACGUAACUUGUUCGUGCUUUCUUUGUAUUCAAUUAUAUCAUUCUUUGCUUCGUUUGUGUCUCAAAGAACAAAAAGGUAUAAAGUAGUUACAAAAUGGCCAGCGCGUAACACACAAGAUAUCUCAAUUUUGUUAACGUGAUUCGAUAUAGAAUCGUUUGUACCACUUUUUAUUUCGUUUGUUCGUAUAGUUCAGAGAAAAAAAAAGUCGAAGUUACAGAUUGGAUUUUCAGAAUUAGUUAAAACGACGACGUGUGUGCAGCUGUUUCUAGUUAAAAACGGCUAUACUUUAAAGAUACGUUACAACAAUUCGUUUGUAUUUAUUUAUUUAGAUUCUUCUUUAUGUCUCUUUUCACUUUCCUUCCAUAUUAAAAAUGUAUAUUCCAUAUACAAAUGCGCUAUGCUUGAAAUUGUUACUUUCUUUCCAAGUGGCAGGUCCAUAUCGGUGUAAUAUACAUGUAUCAGAUAGUAUAUGUAUAAUAUUGUAUAUGUAUCAUGUGCGUCACAUCGUAGUUUAUUUAAUGUCAAACUCGUGCUGUUAAUUUUCAGUUAGCUUGUGUGCAAUUUGCAUUCCUGGGAGAUUAUCCCAAGAGAGCGAAAGAGAAAGAGAGAAAGAGAGAGAGAGGGAGAUAAAUCGAUAGAGGAAAUCUGUGUGCAACUCAUGUCGAGUAAUUCUGCUAAGUGAAACGCGUGCAGGAAUUAAUUCGUCCAUAAACUCUAGUCGCGUCUAUUUAAAGUUUACUCCACUUAAACUAAUGUUCCACGCGAACUGCGCCGCCGUGUCAUUGUCUUCAAGUGAUUAACUAUUUAUUGCUUUCACAACUUCUGUACAAAAUGCUCAAUUUGUAAUAAUUAAUAAUCAAUGAUGCGAGAUUAUUUUCUUCCGUGUCAUUGUCUUCAAGUGAUUAACUUUUUAUUACUUUCACAGCUACUGUACAAAAUACUCAAUUUGUAACAAUUAAUAAUCAAUGAUGCGAGAUAAUGUUCUCAAUGUUAAAAAACUUAUUUAACAUUUGAGAUUAUCGAUUGCACAAUUCUUUCAACUGCUUACAAAAAUAAUAAAGAAUUUAAGCUUACGAAUCUCUUCCCUUCAAAUCUCCCUUUUCAGUACCACACGAAAUAAUUUUUGGAGUAGGAACAAAAAUCAUCCCGAUAGCAGUUAAUUAUACUGAAGAAGUUUUAUUAGAACCAGAGGAGAGAGAUAAUAAUAAUAACAAGAAAGGAAACAAGAAGGUCGUCCAAGAUUCUGCUUUCGAGCUGCCUGCGAAAAAUAAUUGGCGGAAGGAAGAAAACGGAUAUUAUGGUUGUUCUCGGGAGAAAAAUAGAGAGAAAGUAAGUAAGUAAGAGAGAGAUGGUUAUAACUUAACCCGCGAGGGGCGUUACCGUGUUGGCCACCCUUCACGAUGCUCGUAUGAGGCCGCGCCGCUGAGGAGUAUUCGGGAUAACGAGGAAAAUGUAGGACAGAGACUUCGGACGCGUUACGAAUAGGACUCUCGCACUCGAGCCGCGACGUUGGCUGUUCGAUUUUUGUCGAGUGCGCCAACGGAGUGAAUAAAAGCGCCAAUAUUGUAUGUAGCGCGUCGCAUGAGAAUCGAGAGAUCUCACUCGCACAACAGUGGAAAAUAAACAGAGUCCGGGCGUGAUUUUAUUUGAGUAAUAGACAGUUAAUAAAAAAGUGAAUGAAAGAUUAUUCGACAACUGAUGGAUUAAAUUUUAAAUCAAAUCGAACCAGGUAGAACAUUGAACGAUUAAUCGAUAUUCGAAUAUUCGUUUACUUCGCAGUUAUAAUUUUUUCGUUGGAACUUCCUCGUUUAAUCAGUGUUAUGAUACUCAUUAUCUACGAAUUAAUGACAAAAAUUUAUUAAUUUCCGUAUUAUACAUAAAUAUCCGUAUUAUACAUAAAUAUCCAUAUUAUACAUAAUUAAAAAUCUAAGAGGAGUGUCCCAUAAAACAUGAAACAAUGUCCGAAGUAUAAAAACUAAAUAAUGGAAUAUUAAUCCUCUCAUAAUCUGAAACGACCGCUCCUACAAGAGAACUUCAAUUUAAGAGUUAGUUAGAAAAACUGUUUCGAGUUUACAGAGGCCGCAGUCGUAGGAAUUCUCGUUAAGAAAAAACCAUCUCCGAUAAUGGUCAAACAGAUCUUGAAUAAGAAAUAAACGAGAAAAAAGCGCCGUUAAUCCCGAUUAAUCCACCGUCAAGUCUCGUGUCAGGGAACAUUGCUCGAUUCCGAUCCAGAGCCCCUUGUAGAUUUAUACUUCACACUCUCAUCGUGCAGCCCGCGCUCUUGAUCCAUAAGAAAGGUAUACUCGCUGGCUUGACUAACCCUCUCCACGUUUCCCUCCUCUGAGGAGGGUGUCUUGCCACUCGACGUCGUACGUCAUUAAGAAGAGUGUAAGUUCGCCGGGAAGGGAUUGGAGGGGUUGGAGAACCACGCGAAAGCGCGGGUUUAUGGCGGCUCGAACACCGACACCGUAGCGGGUAUAGACCGACCGGCCGGGUGACGUCAUCCCCGGGUGAACGGUGACGUAAAACCCGGGGCAACGUUACGUUACGCAAGCGUGGAGGGUGCGCGCUGCGCGCGCUCACCCACUGCCCUACUUUCCGCUUCGCGCGCGCGCUACCCCGAUUACUCGGGGUAAGCUUACCUCUUCACCCUCUUCGCACCCUCUCUUUCUCCCGACUAGCCUCUCUUACAAGAGAAGGAGAGAGGAGAAACCGCGUGUCGAGUGAUAGAGUUAACACUGCCGAAAGGGUUUCUGUGUAACUUUUAUUUAUUUAAGCGAUUGACCAACACAAGCAGGCGGAAUGGGUAGAGCAGUCUUCGCAGUAUCGGAAAUUAUCAAGAUAAAAUCCCUUUCUUAUUUCUUUGUUUGUCGUUUCAGGAAUAAUCUAUACUUCGGUCAUGUCUUCCGUUUUCGAUAUUUUCAACGUUAUUUUUAAAAUGUAGAUUUAAUUUUUUGAUAUUCCUUAAUGCCUUUCAUAUCAGUAUUCGGUAUUCAAUAUAGAUAUUAAAAAACACAGUAUAUUGUAUCGAAAGAUACCUGUGUAUCAAAAAUAUUUGUUUUCUAACUUCUUCAUUGAUCGUAGUAAAUCAUGAAAUGUUUGCUAAAAUUUUCUUCUAAUCUUCCAUCUUGUGGUAUUUUCUGGGAAUUCCGCUCGACAUUGCGCAAAGUCACGACAAAACAUCGACGUCACGUUCUAUCCGGGAUUUUAAUAAAAUCUGAAGUUUGAUACCACCGCAGCAUUUUUCCAUUAUACGACGCCGGAUAAGAAUUAACGCGGCGACUUUUGGAUCGGUUGAGAUUGGCGAAAAUUCCGGCAGAUCGCCCCGGGCUCCGAGACCGUCCUCAUCUUCACGUAUUCAAGCUCCAUUAAGUUCAACACCGUAGGAAGCGCCCUGCGGCUAUGGACCCGGGAUAAGAAUCGCAUCGACUUCCCCUUAUCUAGGUCAAAGUCCAGUGAUAAACAACAUUGACACUGACGGCCGCUGGCUAGCUUUCGAUCUGCAUGGUUAAUGUACAACACGUUGGAGCUGCUCAUCCGUAAAAAAGGACGACGUAAUGACGGGAUUAACAACUUGAAGGAUCGGAGGCUGUGUGUGUGACAUGAAACGAAAUUGAACAUGAUCAUUAAAGGUUUAAAGAAUAUCUACUCAUCAUCCAGAUUAGUUUUGUUUGUACGUCGUUUCUGGUAAGUCGAUGUUCAAUUCGAGCUUGAGAGAGGUAGUCUUUAACUACUUUGAAGAUCGGCGAUUAAUAUUUUAAGGAAAUCUCACGGAUUUGGAGGAUUAGGAGACAUUGCGAGUUCCACGAAUCGCUUCUCUGAUGUCGAAUUUCGAGUGAUUAAGAACUUCUACUUUAGCUUCAGGUACUGAAAAUUGAAUAUUGAAUAUUGUGGAACGAUUCAAUUACAGAUUUUAGGUAGUUAAAACGUGCUUAAAAAUUUCUUCAAAACUAAGGAGUUGAUUUGAUGUACAUUAUUGCUCAAGUCAUAAGAUAAAUUAUAAAAUAAAUUAAAUCUGAUUC